rnacentral:lncRNA from 1 species
GGAGGCAGGGCUGGGUCCGCUGCGGACCCCACUCCCGCUUCCCCCUCGCCCUGCCUCUGGGACCGGCUCACCUCUCGGACCCCAGUUUCCUCGUCUGAGAGACGGGCUCAGCCCCGUAGCCGGAACCGAGCUGCUGCCGCCAAGGACGGGAGAAAGAAAAAACGCUCAGUGCCCCUUCGCCGUUUGACACCGUAUUGGCGACAUCUGCCAAUACAAUCGGACCAGGAGGGGCGGCUGUAGACAAGAGCGGUGGAAAGGAGGCCGGGUGCGGGGGCUCACGCGUGUGAUCUCAGCAUUUGCGGAGGCCGAGGCGGGAGGAUCGCUUGAGCCCAGGAGUUCUAGACCAGCCUGGGCAACACGGACCUUAUGUGGAAAUAGGGUCUCUGCAGACAUGGCCCAGUUAAGGCGAGGCCACGAGGAACCGGGUGGGCCCUGAUCCAACGACGGAUGAAUUUACAAGAAGAGACAGAGACACACAGGGGAGAAGGCUGUGAGCAGAUGGAGGCAGAGAUCAGGGAGAUCAAUCUGCAAGCCAAGGGCGCCUGGAGCCCCAGACGCCGGAAGAGGCAGGAAGGAUCCUCCCCAGGGGCUCCGGGGGGGUAGCACGGCCCGGCCCACGCCUUGAUGUUGGGCUUCCGGCCUCCAGGACGGUGGGAGGCCGAAUCUCCGCUGUUCAAGCCACUCAGCCUGUGGGUAUUUGUUCCCGCAACCCUGGGAAACUUGCCCAGGGUCACUCAGGCUACCGGAACAGAGCUGGGAGUUAAACCCGCUCCAAUCAGCCUCAGUGCCCCCAGGACCUGGUGCUCAGCGGGGCCUCUGCGGCUCCUCCCUCCCCACCCCCUGCCCUGCUUCUGCCCCGCCCUGUCAGGCACAGACCCAGGCAGUUCUGCUAAGGGGGCAGCGGGAAGCAAGGCGGGGGUGGCGGGGGUCCUGGGGGUGCAGAGGCUCACGGGGCGGGGAGGGGAGGGUGUGUACGCAGGUCUAGCUCGAGUCCCUCCUGCUGCAGCCUAGGCACCUCGCCUCCCUCAGGGACCGGCUCCUGGGCUCCAGGAGAGGGAGGCCGGCCCUGUACCGGAGGCUGCCUCCCGCCCGCCCGGCGCCCGCCUCACCUCCCGCAGGGGCCCGUUGAGCUCGCCCAGGAUGCUGUCCUCGUCAAACAUCUUGCCCUGGUAACGGUGCUCAUAGUAGUCGUGGAUCUUCUGGCGGAAGUCAGCUGGCAGCUUGUGGAAGGACAUGUACUGCUCCACCUGCUUGUACUGUGGGGAGGAGGCGAGGCUGGGUCAGACACCGCCCCCGGCCUGCAGCGGGCACAGGGGCACCUGCUUGUACUGUGGGGAGGCGAGGCUGGGUCAGACACCGCCCCCAGCCUGCAGCGGGCACACGGGCACCUGCUUGUGGGUCAGACAGCCCCCCGGCCUGUGGCGGGGAGAUAGGCCUUCACACCUGCUUGUACUGUGGGGGGUCAGGGCUGGGUCAGACAAAGCCCCCGCCCACAGCGGGGAGACAGGCCUCCGCCACACACAGGGGCGGCCAGAUUCAACAAGAGCAAAUAAACAUGCUUCUAUUUAAAUCAAA